GAUGAACGCUGGCGGCGUGCCUAAUACAUGCAAGUAGAACGCUGAAGGAGGAGCUUGCUCUUCUGGAUGAGUUGCGAACGGGUGAGUAACGCGUAGGUAACCUGCCUGGUAGCGGGGGAUAACUAUUGGAAACGAUAGCUAAUACCGCAUGACAACAGUUAUUGCAUGAUAACUGUUUAAAAGGGGCAACUGCUCCACUACCAGAUGGACCUGCGUUGUAUUAGCUAGUUGGUGAGGUAACGGCUCACCAAGGCGACGAUACAUAUCCGACCUGAGAGGGUGGACCGCCACACUGGGAAUGAGACACGGCCCAGGCUCCUACGGGAGGCAGCAGUAGGGGAUCUUCGGCAAUGGGCGGAAGUCUGACCGAGCAACGCCGCGUGGGGGAAGAAGGUUUUCGGAUCGUAAAGCUCUGUUGUAAGAGAAGAACGAGUGUGAGAGUGGAAAGUUCACACUGUGACGGUAUCUUACCAGAAAGGGACGGCUAACUACGUG
rnacentral:rRNA from 1 species